AUUGAACGCUGGCGGCAGGCCUAACACAUGCAAGUCGAGCGGAUGAAGGGAGCUUGCUCCUGGAUUCAGCGGCGGACGGGUGAGUAAUGCCUAGGAAUCUGCCUGGUAGUGGGGGAUAACGUCCGGAAACGGGCGCUAAUACCGCAUACGUCCUGAGGGAGAAAGUGGGGGGUCUUCGGACCUCACGCUAUCAGAUGAGCCUAGGUCGGAUUAGCUAGUUGGUGGGGUAAAGGCCUACCAAGGCGGCGAUCCGUAACUGGUCUGAGAGGAUGAUCAGUCACACUGGAACUGAGACACGGUCCAGACUCCUACGGGAGGCAGCAGUGGGGAAUAUUGGACAAUGGGCGAAAGCCUGAUCCAGCCAUGCCGCGUGUGUGUAGAAGGUCUUCGGAUUGUAAAGCACUUUAAGCUGGGAGGAAGGGCAGUAAGUUAAUACCUUGCUGUUUUGACGUUACCAACAGAAUAAGCACCGGCUAACUUCGUG
rnacentral:rRNA from 1 species